UCAAACAUAAUGGCACCAGCCAAAAAUCUAAAAUCAAGAAAUGUCUGAAUUAAAUGCAGCGCAAAACAAUAGUCAAACUCGAAAGCCUCUAUCAAAGUACAUGCAACGCAAAAUAAUAUAUUAUACUAUUACAACUCAAGUAAACACCCCAGUUAUAAGAAAUUGUGUGCACAGAUUCCAAGUGUUGCUCAUGUCUUCUGUCUCAUUUCAUCCUCAGAAUCCAUGACAAGCUGUAAGUUGCUCAAAAGACAUGGAAGAGUACUCAAAGUUGUCAUAGUUUUCAGAAUUGAAUACGACUUCUGGGACACAUCUUCCUCUGUCCAUUUAAUAAUGAUUCGAAAUGUGUCACCAGAAUUUUUAACAGUUUCCGAUGAAGACUUCUUCUCCACCACUCUCAAACUACUAGGUGAUUUCAGGAUGGUAAAAGAUUUAGUGUGUUCAUCAUGUUCAUUGUUAUUUGCGUUAUCUUCUGGAGAAGAAGCAAAUUGUUCCUCUACUGCAUCCCGUUUGGAAUUAGAGGUCGAAACAUGAUACAAACUCAGCCACAUCAGGGGGAAUUAGUUCUUUUUAAGCUGCAUAGGAGAAUAGAUGUUUCAUAAAUUUAAUUUGACAACAAAUGUGAGAAGCAUAUAUCUCAUCCUUUCUGCUAAAAUAACCAUAGAAGAUUGAUCAUUAGAAAGACGAACAACACUAGAGCAAUCCAUAAAACAUAUAUUGUAAUAUGGAAACUCUAGCAUGCUAGAACGAUUACCUUUGUUAGGUUUUAU
rnacentral:lncRNA from 1 species